rnacentral:rRNA from 3 species
UGCAGUCGAGCGGACUGAUGGGAGCUUGCUCCCUGAAGUCAGCGGCGGACGGGUGAGUAACACGUGGGUAACCUGCCUGUAAGACUGGGAUAACUCCGGGAAACCGGGGCUAAUACCGGAUAGUUCUUUUCCUCGCAUGAGGAAAAGUGGAAAGGCGGCUUCGGCUGCCACUUACAGAUGGACCCGCGGCGCAUUAGCUAGUUGGUGAGGUAACGGCUCACCAAGGCAACGAUGCGUAGCCGACCUGAGAGGGUGAUCGGCCACACUGGGACUGAGACACGGCCCAGACUCCUACGGGAGGCAGCAGUAGGGAAUCUUCCGCAAUGGACGAAAGUCUGACGGAGCAACGCCGCGUGAGUGAUGAAGGUUUUCGGAUCGUAAAGCUCUGUUGUUAGGGAAGAACAAGUGCCGUUCGAAUAGGGCGGCACCUUGACGGUACCUAACCAGAAAGCCACGGCUAACUACGUGCCAGCAGCCGCGGUAAUACGUAGGUGGCAAGCGUUGUCCGGAAUUAUUGGGCGUAAAGCGCGCGCAGGCGGUCUCUUAAGUCUGAUGUGAAAGCCCACGGCUCAACCGUGGAGGGUCAUUGGAAA